rnacentral:rRNA from 1 species
GACGAACGCUGGCGGCGUGCUUAACACAUGCAAGUCGAACGUGAUCUUUGUGGAAAUUCUUUCGGGCAUGGAAAUGAAAUGAAAGUGGCGAACGGGUGAGUAACACGUGAGCAACCUACCUUACACAGGGGGAUAGCCGUUGGAAACGACGACUAAUACCGCAUGAGACCACAGAAUCGCAUGAUAUAGCGGUCAAAGAUUUAUCGGUGUAAGAGGGGGUCGCGUCUGAUUAGCUAGUUGGAAGGGGAAAGGCCUACCAAGGCGACGAUCAGCAGACGGUCAGUGAGGCACGGCGGCCACUCCGAAACUAGGACGCAGUCCAGACUCCUACGCGAGGGAGCAGAGGGGGAUAUUGCACUAUGGGGUGAACCCUGAUGGAGCGACGCCGCGUGAGCGAAGAAGGUGUUCGAGUAGUAAAGCUCUGUAAUAUGAGAAGAUAAUGACGGUAUCAUAGGAGGAAGCCCCGGCUAACUACGUG